UUGAUCCUGCCGGAGGUUACUGCUAUCGAGGUCCGACUAAGCCAUGCGAGUCGAAUGUCGCAAGACAUGGCGUACUGCUCAGUAACACGUGGACAACCUACCCUCAGCACGGGGAUAAACCCGGGAAACUGGGUAUAAUACCCGAUAGUUCUGGGAAGCUGGAAUGCUCCCAUGACGAAAGCUCCGGCGACUGAGGAUGGGUCUGCGGCCUAUCAGGUAGUAGUGGGUGUAAUGUACCUACUAGCCUACGACGGGUACGGGUCGUGAGAGCGAGAGCCCGGAGAUGGAUUCUGAGACACGAAUCCAGGCCCUACGGGGUGCAGCAGGCGCGAAAACUUUACAAUGCUGGCAACAGCGAUAAGGGGACCUCGAGUGCCAGGAUACAAUCUUGGCUGUCGCGAUGCCUAAAAAGCAUUGCAUAGCAAGGGCCGGGCAAGACCGGUGCCAGCCGCCGCGGUAACACCGGCGGCUCGAGUGGUAACCGCUAUUAUUGGGUCUAAAGGGUCUGUAGCCGGCCGGAUAAGUCUCUUGGGAAAUCCAGCAGCUCAACUGUUGGGCUUUCAGGAGAUACUGUUCGGCUCGAGACCGGGAGAGGUGAGAGGUACUUCAGGGGUAGGGGUGAAAUCUUGUAAUCCUUGAAGGACCACCAGUGGCGAAGGCGUCUCACCAGAACGGAUCUGACGGCAAGGGACGAAAGCUAGGGGCACGAACCGGAUUAGAUACCCGGGUAGUCCUAGCCGUAAACGAUACUCGCUAGGUGUCAGCCACGGUGCGACCGUGGUUGGUGCCGUAGGGAAGCCGUGAAGCGAGCCACCUGGGAAGUACGGCCGCAAGGCUGAAACUUAAAGGAAUUGGCGGGGGAGCACUACAACGGGUGGAGCCUGCGGUUUAAUUGGAUUCAACGCCGG
rnacentral:rRNA from 1 species